GAGUUUGAUCUUGGCUCAGGAUGAACGCUAGCGGCAGGCUUAACACAUGCAAGUCGAGGGGCAGCGGGGAGGAAGCUUUGCUUUCUCCGCCGGCGACCGGCGCACGGGUGAGUAACACGUAUGCAACCUGCCCCUGUCAGGGGACAACCCGCCGAAAGGCGGGCUAAACCCGCGUACAUGCCACCGGGGCAUCCCGGAGGCAGGAAAGGCUUCGGCCGGACAGGGAUGGGCAUGCGGCGCAUUAGGCAGUAGGCGGGGUAACGGCCCACCUAACCGACGAUGCGUAGGGGUUCUGAGAGGAAGGUCCCCCCACACUGGUACUGAGACACGGACCAGACUCCUACGGGAGGCAGCAGUGAGGAAUAUUGGUCAAUGGCCGAGAGGCUGAACCAGCCAAGUCGCGUGAGGGAAGACGGCCCUACGGGUUGUAAACCUCUUUUGUCGGGAGCAAAGAGAGCCACGUGUGGUUCAUUGAGAGUACCCGAAGAAAAAGCAUCGGCUAACUCCGUGCCAGCCGCCGCCGUAAAAACCUGAGACUACCAAGGCACACG
rnacentral:rRNA from 1 species